AGGAAAGGAAGAGACUAUCCUAAAGCAUAAAGUAAACGACAUGAAAUAAAAGGUCUCAUUUAAGGUAGCCCAAGAGAAAACCUUUAUGUAUGAAGGUGUACUAACCACAAGAUGGAGCAAGCAUUUUAUAUUGGUCAAAAUAAGCAUUCUUUUCCCAUUGGAUUGAGCCACAAGAUAAAAAAAAUACAUAAGCAAAUGAAUAUCAAAAGAUC
rnacentral:lncRNA from 1 species